AUUGAACGCUGGCGGCAUGCCUUACACAUGCAAGUCGAACGGUAACGGGCCUUCGGGUGCCGACGAGUGGCGAACGGGUGAGUAAUACAUCGGAACGUGCCCGAUCGUGGGGGAUAACGAGGCGAAAGCUUUGCUAAUACCGUAUACGAUCUACGGAUGAAAGCAGGGGACCGCAAGGCCUUGCGCGGACGGAGCGGCCGAUGGCAGAUUAGGUAGUUGGUGGGAUAAAAGCUUACCAAGCCGACGAUCUGUAGCUGGUCUGAGAGGAUGAUCAGCCACACUGGGACUGAGACACGGCCCAGACUCCUACGGGAGGCAGCAGUGGGGAAUUUUGGACAAUGGGCGCAAGCCUGAUCCAGCCAUGCCGCGUGCAGGAUGAAGGCCUUCGGGUUGUAAACUGCUUUUGUACGGAACGAAAAGCCUUCUUUUAAUACAGGAGGGUCAUGACGGUACCGUAAGAAUAAGCACCGGCUAACUACGUG
rnacentral:rRNA from 1 species